GUGGCUGUAGCUCAGUCGGUAGAGCUCCAGACUGUGGAUCUGGCUGUCGCGGGUUCGAGUCCCGUCAGCCACCCCA
rnacentral:tRNA from 1 species